CAAUUUUCUGAAUUUUUCCAAGCUUCAUGUUUGAGGAGCAAAUACUAUGCAAACAUAUAAAAGCCCGCUAAAAGAACACAUUGCUUCAUCCACCAGUUUAGAACAAUCCUUGUAAUCUUAACUUGCAAAAAUUUCUGAAAAAGAAGAUUCACUGAAGCGCAUGAGAAAAAGUUCAUAACAAAUCAACAAGAGUCAAGUUAAAUUCAAUGCAUAUAGGGAUCCACAAUGGCAGCAUCUAUGGAAAAUAGGACGAGAAACUGAAAAGCAAUAAAGAAAAAGAAAAAUUGGGUUUAUAUGUUGAGUGAAAGACCUCAUUCCUUCGAAUUUUUUGAAGGGUGUAAGCUCAGCCAACGAUCUGCAAGAACAUACAAUGGUUAUUAAUGUCCUGCAAACUCAGCUUUGACUUUAGCUAAAACUACAAUGUAUAUAUAAUCAAGAAAAUGUUGGUUGAACAGAGAAAUACCUUUAUAUGAUGUACCAUCACCGUUCUUCAUCGAUCAAAGAAUUAUCAUUAGCAUCCACAAUUGUUCCCUCAAUAUCAGACCUUACCCA
rnacentral:lncRNA from 1 species